GUUGACAGGCAGCAGCAGCAGCAGCAGCAGCACCAGCUAGCAGCCCCACCGGCCAGACAGGAAGGAGGCCGAUCUGGCGUCACAUCCGGUGAGAGCAGAAGCUGAGUUGAACGAACCCCGGAUGCGGAGCCGACGUCCAAAUGGUUGAGCUUCCCACUCCCUCGUUUACCCGAGCACAUCCGCUUUUUAUCGGUUGAAGAUGGGGCGCACAUUAAAGUUUCACACAGACCUAAUCAGUAAGUUACCCCACCAGGGCUGUUGGACAUUACUGGCCUGUCACAGCUGUGGUCUCCCAGAGAGAAACACAGCUACAGCCUGUCUCUUUCUCUCUCCCUCCCUCUGCCCUUGAGUCCUGGUAAUCUGCUUGUCACAUUAUCUUGUACCGCUGUCCCAAAGCAGCAUAUCCAGCAGUUAGCGUCGACCUGCUGGCUCACAUUUCCUUCCUGUUUACCACUCGCCGCUCCUGACCCGCAGGGGCCACGGCUCCAUUGUGUGUCAACCUGGCUUGUGUUACCUACUGGCUUCCCCAACCCUGUCCUGCUUUCAGCUGUGUAGCCCGCCACCCUACUUCCAUUCUCGCUCCCUGUUACUUCCUCGUAACUACAGAUAGUGCAGUGUCUCUCUCUGCAUGUCCAGUGUUUGUAUCUUGAUACCUGCAGUACACGUCAGAAAUGAGGAAUGUCGGUGUUAUAAAAUGGCAGUUUUUGCUUUAGUUCACGACUUGUUAAUGCAACAAGUUUUAAGAAAACCAACACAGUUCAAACUUUGUAGUUUUUCAGCAGGGUUACAACUUGUUUUAUUUAUUUAUGAGCAAACCAUGUAAUGUAAUGUAAAGCAAUGUACCAAUAAAUAUUUUUUAUUAUAAUGUCAACAUUACUCUUGCUCUUAUACA